CCUACGGGUGGCUGCAGUGGGGAAUAUUGGACAAUGGGGGCAACCCUGAUCCAGCCAUGCCGCGUGUGUGAAGAAGGCCCUCGGGUUGUAAAGCACUUUCAGUGAGGAAGAACGCCUGGUGGUUAAUACCCAUCAGGAAAGACAUCACUCACAGAAGAAGCACCGGCUAACUCCGUGCCAGCAGCCGCGGUAAUACGGAGGGUGCGAGCGUUAAUCGGAAUUACUGGGCGUAAAGCGCGCGUAGGUGGCUUGAUAAGCCGGUUGUGAAAGCCCCGGGCUCAACCUGGGAACGGCAUCCGGAACUGUCAAGCUAGAGUGCAGGAGAGGAAGGUAGAAUUCCCGGUGUAGCGGUGAAAUGCGUAGAGAUCGGGAGGAAUACCAGUGGCGAAGGCGGCCUUCUGGACUGACGCUGACACUGAGGUGCGAAAGCGUGGGUAGCAAACAGGAUUAGAUACCCUUGUAGGC
rnacentral:rRNA from 1 species